UCUCCGUAGGUGAACCUGCGGAGGGAUCAUUACCAGAGAUGGCGGGCCUCCGUGCCCCCGUCCCCAACCCAUUGUUGACCAAAACCUUUUUGCCUCGGGGGCAGAGCGUCCGCCGCCGCCCCCGGAGGACCACCGAACGCUGUCUCUAUACGUCGGAGUAUUGAUUAAAUGAAUGAAGACUUUCAACAACGGAUCUCUUGGUUCUG
rnacentral:misc_RNA from 1 species